rnacentral:rRNA from 1 species
UAUUGGACAAUGGGGGCAACCCUGGUCCAGCCAUGCCGCGUGUGUGAAGAAGGCCUUCGGACUGUAAAGCAAUUUAAGUGGGGAGGAAGGGCUUGAGGUUAGGACCAUGAAGUGUUGACGUUCCUGAAAGAAUAAGCCCCGGCUAACUCCGUUCCAGCAGCCGCGGUAAUACGAAGGGUUCAAGUGUUAAUCGGAAUUACUGUGCGUACCGCGCGCGUAGGUGGUUUGUUAAGUUUGAAGUGAAAGCCCCGGGCUCAACCUGGGAACUGCUUUCAAAACUGGCAAGCUAGAGUAUGGCAGAGGGUAGUAGAAUUUCCUGUGUAGCGGUGAAAUGCGUAGAUAUAGGAAGGAACACCAGUGGCGAAGGCGACCACCUGGGCUAAUACUGACACUGAGGUGCGAAAGCGUGGGGAGCAAAC